rnacentral:rRNA from 1 species
AUUGAACGCUGGCGGCAUGCUUUACACAUGCAAGUCGAACGGUAACAGGCCUUCGGGCGCUGACGAGUGGCGAACGGGUGAGUAAUGCAUCGGAACGUGCCCAGUCGUGGGGGAUAACUAUCCGAAAGGAUAGCUAAUACCGCAUACGAUCCGCGGAUGAAAGCGGGGGACCUUCGGGCCUCGCGCGAUUGGAGCGGCCGAUGUCAGAUUAGGUAGUUGGUGGGGUAAAGGCUCACAAAGCCAACGAUCUGUAGCUGGUCUGAGAGGACGACCAGCCACACUGGGACUGAGACACGGCCCAGACUCCUACGGGAGGCAGCAGUGGGGAAUUUUGGACAAUGGGCGCAAGCCUGAUCCAGCAAUGCCGCGUGCAGGAAGAAGGCCUUCGGGUUGUAAACUGCUUUUGUACGGAACGAAACGGCUCUGGUUAAUACCCGGGGCUAAUGACGGUACCGUAAGAAUAAGCACCGGCUAACUACGUGCCAGCCGCCGCAGUAA